UACGUAGGGUGCAAGCGUUAAUCGGAAUUACUGGGCGUAAAGCGUGCGCAGGCGGUUAUGCAAGACAGAUGUGAAAUCCCCGGGCUCAACCUGGGAACUGCAUUUGUGACUGCAUAGCUGGAGUGCGGCAGAGGGGGAUGGAAUUCCGCGUGUAGCAGUGAAAUGCGUAGAUAUGCGGAGGAACACCGAUGGCGAAGGCAAUCCCCUGGGCCUGCACUGACGCUCAUGCGCGAAAGCGUGGGGAGCAAACAGG
rnacentral:rRNA from 1 species